GACGAACGUUGGCGGCGUGCUUAAUACAUGCAAGUCAACUGAAGCAGUGGUAGCAAUAUCGCUGUGGAGGUGGCGCACGGGUGAGUAACACGUAGGUAAUCUGCCUUCAGGUCUGGCAUAACUCCGGGAAACCGGGGCUAAUAGCAGAUGAUGCAGCGGCUCGACAUCGAGACAGUUGUUAAAGCUAUGGCGCCUGAAGAUGAGCCGGCGUCUGAUUAGCUAGUUGGCGGGGUAACGGCCCACCAAGGCAACGAUCAGUAGCUGGUCUGAGAGGAUGAUCAGCACCACUGGACCUGAGACCCGGUCCAGACUCCACGGGAGGCAGCAGUAAGGAAUAUUGCUCAAUGGGAGAAAUCCUGAAGCAGCAACGCCGCGUGAGGGACGAAGGGCUUUUGCUUGUAAACCUCUGUAGUGAGAGAAAAAAAUCCCAAUCUUUGGGACAUGAUGGUAUCUCAAAAGUAAGCCCCGGCUAACUACGUG
rnacentral:rRNA from 1 species